rnacentral:rRNA from 1 species
CGAUCCAACCCUAAAUACUAAUACCAGAUCGAUAGUGCACAAGUACCGUGAGGGAAAGGUGAAAAGAACUGAGGUGAUCAGAGUGAAAUAGAACCUGAAACCAUUUGCUUACAAUCAUUCAGAGCCCUAUGUAGCAAUACAGGGUGAUGGACUGCCUUUUGCAUAAUGAGCCUGCGAGUUGUGGUGUCUGGCAAGGUUAAGCAAACGCGAAGCCGUAGCGAAAGCGAGUCUGAAUAGGGCGCUUAGUCAGAUGCUGCAGACCCGAAACGAAGUGAUCUAUCCAUGAGCAAGUUGAAGCUAGUGUAAGAACUAGUGGAGGACUGAACCCAUAGGCGUUGAAAAGCCCCGGGAUGACUUGUGGAUAGGGGUGAAAGGCCAAUCAAACUUCGUGAUAGCUGGUUCUCUCCGAAAUAUAUUUAGGUAUAGCGUUGUGUCGUAAUAUAAGGGGGUAGAGCACUGAAUGGGCUAGGGCAUACACCAAUGUACCAAACCCUAUCAAACUCCGAAUACCUUAUAUGUAAUCACAGCAGUCAGGCGGCGAGUGAUAAAAUCCGUCGUCAAGAGGGAAACAACCCAGACUACCAGCUAAGGUCCCUAAAUCUUACUUAAGUGGAAAACGAUGUGAAGUUACUUAAACAACCAGGAGGUUGGCUUAGAAGCAGCCAUCCUUUAAAGAAAGCGUAAUAGCUCACUGGUCUAGUGAUUUUGCGCGGAAAAUAUAACGGGGCUAAAGUAAGUACCGAAGCUGUAGACUUGCACACAACUUAGAUUAUUUAAGUUUAGAAUAUGAGAAACUAAGUUAUAUGUUUAGUUAUAUUUUUACUGAUUUUUAUAGAGUAAAGAUAGAAAUAAAACUUAGUAAAAUCAGUAAAAAUAUUCUUAGACUAAAGUUAAGUAGUUUAAGUUGUGUGCAAGUGGUAGGAGAGCGUUCUAUUUGCGUCGAAGGUAUACCGGUAAGGAGUGCUGGAGCGAAUAGAAGUGAGCAUGCAGGCAUGAGUAGCGAUAAUUAAUGUGAGAAUCAUUAACGCCGUAAACCCAAGGUUUCCUACGCGAUGCUCGUCAUCGUAGGGUUAGUCGGGUCCUAAGUCGAGUCCGAAAGGGGUAGACGAUGGCAAAUUGGUUAAUAUUCCAAUACCAACAUUAGUGUGCGAUGGAAGGACGCUUAGGGCUAAGGGGGCUAGCGGAUGGAAGUGCUAGUCUAAGGUCGUAGGAGGUUAUACAGGCAAAUCCGUAUAACAAUACUCCGAGAACUGAAAGGCUUUUUGAAGUCUUCGGAUGGAUAGAAGAACCCCUGAUGCCGUCGAGCCAAGAAAAGUUUCUAAGUUUAGCUAAUGUUGCCCGUACCGUAAACCGACACAGGUGGGUGGGAUGAGUAUUCUAAGGCGCGUGGAAGAACUCUCUUUAAGGAACUCUGCAAAAUAGCACCGUAUCUUCGGUAUAAGGUGUGGUUAGCUUUGUAUUAGGAUUUACUCCGAAAGCAAGGAAACUUACAACAAAGAGUCCCUCCCGACUGUUUACCAAAAACACAGCACUCUGCUAACUCGUAAGAGGAUGUAUAGGGUGUGACGCCUGCCCGGUGCUCGAAGGUUAAUUGAUGGGGUUAGCAUUAGCGAAGCUCUUGAUCGAAGCCCGAGUAAACGGCGGCCGUAACUAUAACGGUCCUAAGGUAGCGAAAUUCCUUGUCGGUUAAAUACCGACCUGCAUGAAUGGCGUAACGAGAUGGGAGCUGUCUCAAAGAGGGAUCCAGUGAAAUUGUAGUGGAGGUGAAAAUUCCUCCUACCCGCGGCAAGACGGAAAGACCCCGUGGACCUUUACUACAGCUUGACACUGCUACUUGGAUAAGAAUGUGCAGGAUAGGUGGGAGGCUUUGAGUAUAUGACGCCAGUUGUAUAUGAGCCAUUGUUGAGAUACCACUCUUUCUUAUUUGGGUAGCUAACCAGCUUGAGUUAUCCUCAAGUGGGACAAUGUCUGGUGGGUAGUUUGACUGGGGCGGUCGCCUCCCAAAUAAUAACGGAGGCUUACAAAGGUUGGCUCAGAACGGUUGGAAAUCGUUCGUAGAGUAUAAAGGUAUAAGCCAGCUUAACUGCAAGACAUACAAGUCAAGCAGAGACGAAAGUCGGUCUUAGUGAUCCGGUGGUUCUGUGUGGAAGGGCCAUCGCUCAAAGGAUAAAAGGUACCCCGGGGAUAACAGGCUGAUCUCCCCCAAGAGCUCACAUCGACGGGGAGGUUUGGCACCUCGAUGUCGGCUCAUCGCAUCCUGGGGCUGGAGCAGGUCCCAAGGGUAUGGCUGUUCGCCAUUUAAAGCGGUACGCGAGCUGGGUUCAGAACGUCGUGAGACAGUUCGGUCCCUAUCUGCCGUGGGCGUAAGAAGAUUGAAGAGAUUUGACCCUAGUACGAGAGGACCGGGUUGAACAAACCACUGGUGUAGCUGUUGUUCUGCCAAGAGCAUCGCAGCGUAGCUAAGUUUGGAAAGGAUAAACGCUGAAAGCAUCUAAGCGUGAAGCCAACUCUAAGAUGAAUCUUCUCUAAGCUCUCUAGAAGACUACUAGUUUGAUAGGCUGGGUGUGUAAUGGAUGAAAGUCCUUUAGCUGACCAGUACUAAUAGAGCGUUUGGCUUAUCUUUAAUAAAGCAU